rnacentral:rRNA from 1 species
UACGUAGGUGACAAGCGUUGUCCGGAUUUACUGGGCGUAAAGAGCGCGCAGGCGGUCGUUCAAGUCGGGUGUGAAAGCCCCCGGCUCAACUGGGGAGGGUCAUUCGAUACUGAUCGACUCGAAGGCAGGAGAGGGUAGUGGAAUUCCCGGUGUAGUGGUGAAAUGCGUAGAUAUCGGGAGGAACACCAGUGGCGAAGGCGACUACCUGGCCUGUUCUUGACGCUGAGGCGCGAAAGCUAGGGGAGCAAACGGG